UGUUAUAAUGCUAUGGUUUUACAUCUUUGAGAUUUAAAAUAUUGUUGUGCUAUCAGGACUAGGUUCAGCUCAAGGUUCAGCUGGGACUGGUAAAACAUGAAAUGUCAUCACAUGAAACAACAGUAAACACACAUGGAAGGGAAGCAUAAUUUUAAAACUAAGACUGGUAAUGCAUGAGACAGCUAUCAGUGUCAUUUUCUAAUCAAAAGAACAAAAAGUAUUUCAAGAAAAGUGCUUUCAGAAAUCAUUUAAAUAUUUUUUCUUUGUUUUCCCGUAACCGAGUUCAUCCUUUGUAUGCUUUGAAAUACAAAGGAGAUUUCCUUGUAACCUUAGAAAUUACCUGAUUUGUAACAGUUAUGAUCUCAUCAAAUGGAUCAAACCUAAAUUCAAACACUUGUUGAUUUCUCAAAUCCUUACUUGUGCAUUUCAUGAAUAAUGAGAUAUUCACAGCAGCUACAGAAAGACAAAGCAUCUCUAUAUGUACUCUUUACAGAUAAAUUGAUGAAGAAAACCAAUGAGAAGAUCUCGGAGUUGACUAUGGAUGAUAGAGAUGCAAACAAAACAGGUUGCCUGGACGUCACUGAGAGAAUAUUGGCAUCUUUCAUUAUAUUGGUGAGGAAAAGAAAUCUCUACCAACAAUUUGCUCUCUAGGCAAUAAUCUGAAUGACUUUAUGCAGUGAUGUUGUGUGUGAUCUUAUUGUUGGAAAAUGCUCUUUUCAGCUCCCAUCUGCCUAGCUUUGGAUAUCAGAUUUGGACAUUUUUAUCUUCUGUGCUGGAAUUCACUGUUGGACUGGGACUAUUGUACUGUAAUUCACAACUGAUGAAGAACAGUAAAUCAAGACCUGUUUUAAAAAUCAGAAUGCUGAUUUCAAGACUCAUUCUGCCCUUAUACUCUACAAAAUAAACUGAUUACAUGUCUAAGGGAGAAAAAGAAAGAGGAGAAAAGAUACAGAGUAUUUUUUCAAACAUGGCUGAAAAAUGCUGAAAGGGCCAGCGCUAGAAUCAAGAAUGCUGGAAAUGACAGGAGAACCUAUUACUCCAUUGAUAGACAAC